AGCGAACGCUGGCGGCAGGCCUAACACAUGCAAGUCGAACGAACCCUUCGGGGUUAGUGGCGGACGGGUGAGUAACACGUGGGAACGUGCCCUUUGGUUCGGAACAACUCAGGGAAACUUGAGCUAAUACCGAAUGUGCCCUUCGGGGGAAAGAUUUAUCGCCAUUGGAGCGGCCCGCGUCUGAUUAGCUUGUUGGUGAGGUAAAGGCUCACCAAGGCUACGAUCAGUAGCUGGUCUGAGAGGAUGAUCAGCCACAUUGGGACUGAGGCACGGCCCAAACUCCUACGGGAGGCAGCAGUGGGGAAUCUUGCGCAAUGGGCGAAAGCCUGACGCAGCCAUGCCGCGUGAAUGAUGAAGGUCUUAGGAUUGUAAAAUUCUUUCACCGGGGACGAUAAUGACGGUACCCGGAGAAGAAGCCCCGGCUAACUUCGUGCCAGCAGCCGCGGUAAUAC
rnacentral:rRNA from 1 species